rnacentral:tRNA from 1 species
GUUGUGGCCCAGUGGUAGAGCACUCGCCUGCCAUGCAUGAGGCACUGGGUUUAAUCCUCAGCACCACA